rnacentral:rRNA from 1 species
UUCUAACCCGUAAACUAUGCCAACUAGCGAUCCGUCGGUGUUAAAUAUUGACUCGACGGGCAGCUUCCGGGAAACCAAAGUUUAUAGGUUCCGGGGGAAGUAUGGUUGCAAAGCUUAAACUUAAAGGAAUUGACGGAAGGGCACCACCAGGAGUGGAGCCUGCGGCUUAAUUUGACUCAACACGGGGAAACUCACCCGGCCAGGACACAAUAAGGAUUGACAGAUUGAUAGCUCUUUCUUGAUUUUGUGGGUGGUGGUGCAUGGCCGUUCUUAGUUGGUGGAGCGAUUUGUCUGGUUAAUUCCGAUAACGAACGAGACUCUAGCCUAUUAAAUAGACGAUAUAUUUUAUUCGUAUAUCGAGCUUCUUAGAGGGACGAGCAGCUUCUAGCUGCACGAGAUUGAGCAAUAACAGGUCUGUGAUGCCCUUAGAUGUCCGGGGCUGCACGCGCGCUACAAUGAAAAUAGCAGCGCGUUUCGAAAACCUUUUCUGGAAAGAAUUGGUAAACGCGAAAUAUUUUCGUGAUAGGGAUAGGGGAUUGCAAUUAUUGCCCUUGAACGAGGAAUUCCCAGUAAAUUCGAGUCAUCA